AAGGUCUCCACUGAGAAAGAAAAAUGUUAAUUUUGCUCCAGCUCAUUUCCAUUUUAGCAGUUAUCAAAGAUGUCCAAAUGGAGGUCCAGCUGGUGGAAUCUGGAGGGGAUGUGAGAAGGCCAGGGGAAUCCAUUAUUCUUUCCUGCCAAGCUUCAGGCUUUACCUUCAGCAGCUAUGAGAUGAGCUGGGUGAGACAGGCUCCAGGGAAAGGAUUGGAAUGGCUUGCUUUGAUAGAUGAUCCUGGAGAUGGGAGCACCCAAUUCUAUGCCAAUUCUGUGAAAGGCCGUUUCAUCAUCUCCUGGCAAGAUGCCUCCAGCAUGGUUUAUCUCCAAAUGAACAACUUGAAACCAGAGGAUACUGCUGUAUAUUACUGUGCUAGAGGAUCACAGAAGGGGACAAAUAAAACUGUCUUCUUCCACUGUGGCUAA